rnacentral:rRNA from 1 species
AUACGUAGGGUGCGAGCGUUGUCCGGAAUUACUGGGCGUAAAGAGCUCGUAGGUGGUUUGUCGCGUCGUCUGUGAAAUUCCGGGGCUUAACUCCGGGCGUGCAGGCGAUACGGGCAUAACUUGAGUACUGUAGGGGAGACUGGAAUUCCUGGUGUAGCGGUGAAAUGCGCAGAUAUCAGGAGGAACACCGGUGGCGAAGGGGGUUCUCUGGGCAGUAACUGACGCUGAGGAGCGAAAGCAUGGGUAGCGAACAGGAUUAGAUACCCUGGUAGUCCAUGCCGUAAACGGUGGGCGCUAGGUGUAGGGGUCUUCCACGACUUCUGUGCCGUAGCUAACGCAUUAAGCGCCCCGCCUGGGGAGUACGGCCGCAAGGCUAAAACUCAAAGGAAUUGACGGGG